rnacentral:rRNA from 1 species
UACGUAGGGGGCAAGCGUUAUCCGGAUUUACUGGGUGUAAAGGGAGCGUAGACGGCAGGGCAAGUCUGGAGUGAAAGGCAGGGGCCCAACCCCUGGACUGCUCUGGAAACUGUCCGGCUGGAGUGCAGGAGAGGUAAGUGGAAUUCCUAGUGUAGCGGUGAAAUGCGUAGAUAUUAGGAGGAACACCAGUGGCGAAGGCGGCUUACUGGACUGUAACUGACGUUGAGGCUCAAAAGCGUGGGGAGCAAACAGG